CCUGUUUAUCAAAAACAUGUCUGUUUGAAAAUAAGAUCAGUCUGGCCUGCCCACUGAAGUAUUGAAGGGCCGCGGUAAUUUGACCGUGAGAAGGUAGCAUAAUCAUUAGUCUUUUAAUUGAAGACCUGUAUGAAGGGCUGCACAAAAAACUAACUGUCUUAGUAAUUUAUAUUGAAGUUAACUUUUAAGUGAAGAGGCUUAAAUAACUAUUAAAGACGAUAAGACCCUAUAAAACUUUACAUAUGCUUAAUUGAAGUUUAAAUUAUUUGUAAAAGAUUUUUUUUAAAAUUAUGUUUCAUUGGGGAGAUGAAAGUAUAAAUUUAACUGCUUAGCCUUUAUUACAAAAAUCUUUGUAUUUUAAUUGAUCCUUAAGAAAGAUAAAAGACAAGUUACUUUAGGGAUAACAGCGUUAUUUUUUUUGAGAGUUCCUAUCGACCAAAAAGUUUGCGACCUCGAUGUUGAAAUCUAAUUUCUUUGUGAUGCAGCAGUCAUAGAAAGUAAGUCUCUUCGACUUUUAAAA
rnacentral:rRNA from 1 species